rnacentral:rRNA from 1 species
UACGUAGGGGGCAAGCGUUGUCCGGAAUCAUUGGGCGUAAAGCGCGUGUAGGCGGUUCGGUAAGUCGGCUGUGAAAGUCCAGGGCUCAACCCUGGGAUGCCGGUCGAUACUGCCGGACUAGAGUUCGGAAGAGGCGAGUGGAAUUCCCGGUGUAGCGGUGAAAUGCACAGAUAUCGGGAGGAACACCAAUGGCGAAGGCAGCUCGCUGGGACGUUACUGACGCUGAGACGCGAAAGCGUGGGGAGCAAACAGG